rnacentral:rRNA from 1 species
AACGAACGCUGGCGGCAGGCUUAACACAUGCAAGUCGAGCGCCCCGCAAGGGGAGCGGCAGACGGGUGAGUAACGCGUGGGAAUCUACCCAUCUCUACGGAAUAACGCAUGGAAACGUGUGCUAAUACCGUAUACGUCCUUCGGGAGAAAGAUUUAUCGGAGAUGGAUGAGCCCGCGUUGGAUUAGCUAGUUGGUGGGGUAAAGGCCUACCAAGGCGACGAUCCAUAGCUGGUCUGAGAGGAUGAUCAGCCACACUGGGACUGAGACACGGCCCAGACUCCUACGGGAGGCAGCAGUGGGGAAUCUUGGACAAUGGGCGAAAGCCUGAUCCAGCCAUGCCGCGUGAGUGAAGAAGGCCUUAGGGUUGUAAAGCUCUUUCGGCGGGGACGAUAAUGACGGUACCCGCAGAAGAAGCCCCGGCUAACUCCGUGCCAGCCGCCGCGGUAACAC